GAUGAACGCUGGCGGCGUGCCUAAUACAUGCAAGUCGAGCGAACAGACGAGGAGCUUGCUCCUCUGAUGUUAGCGGCGGACGGGUGAGUAACACGUGGAUAACCUACCUAUAAGACUGGGAUAACUUCGGGAAACCGUAGCUAAUACCGGAUAAUAUUUUGAACCGCAUGGUUCAAUAGUGAAAGACGGUUUUGCUGUCACUUAUAGAUGGAUCCGCGCCGCAUUAGCUAGUUGGUAAGGUAACGGCUUACCAAGGCAACGAUGCGUAGCCGACCUGAGAGGGUGAUCGGCCACACUGGAACUGAGACACGGUCCAGACUCCUACGGGAGGCAGCAGUAGGGAAUCUUCCGCAAUGGGCGAAAGCCUGACGGAGCAACGCCGCGUGAGUGAUGAAGGUCUUCGGAUCGUAAAACUCUGUUAUUAGGGAAGAACAUAUGUGUAAGUAACUGUGCACGUCUUGACGGUACCUAAUCAGAAAGCCACGGCUAACUACGUG
rnacentral:rRNA from 1 species